AGAACGAACGCUGGCGGCAGGCUUAACACAUGCAAGUCGAGCGCCCCGCAAGGGGAGCGGCAGACGGGUGAGUAACGCGUGGGAACCUACCCUUUACUACGGAAUAGCUCCGGGAAACUGGAAUUAAUACCGUAUACGCCCUACGGGGGAAAGAUUUAUCGGUAAAGGAUGGGCCCGCGUAAGAUUAGCUAGUUGGUGGGGUAAUGGCCUACCAAGGCGACGAUCUUUAGCUGGUCUGAGAGGAUGAUCAGCCACACUGGGACUGAGACACGGCCCAGACUCCUACGGGAGGCAGCAGUGGGGAAUAUUGGACAAUGGGCGCAAGCCUGAUCCAGCCAUGCCGCGUGAGUGAUGAAGGCCUUAGGGUUGUAAAGCUCUUUCAGUAGGAAGAUAAUGACGGUACCUACAGAAGAAGCCCCGGCUAACUUCGCGCCAGCAGCCGC
rnacentral:rRNA from 1 species